UUUUGCUUUUGUAAAAUAAAUUCAACAAACAUGGGACAUUUUUGACAAAUAAAGUUGAAUUACACCUCCCAGUUAGGGUGUAACAAAGAGCUACAAACUUUUUUCAGACACCUAUUUAAUCUUCAGGAAAUGCCAUACUCCUUACCUAUCAUAGUAUAAUUAAAAUCAUUCUCUGAAGAGCAUUGGGUCAAGAGGAGAGUUGAGCAAGUAUAUCCAAGGUACAGAAACUGUAGAGCUGAACAUACACAAAAAAUAACAACUGGGAGUGAAUAAGGAGAAAAAAAAAAAAAAAAGUAAUGAGUAAAUGAGUUAAUGUUCCGUCUGGGACAGGGUGCGAUGCUUAAAACAAACAGAAGUUCCACCUUUGAAUUCCUGCCUGCAUGCAUUUCCAAUAGCUGACUCUGCAGAUACUUGCUGGUUUUGUAAGUGAUGGCUUUCUGAAUUCACUGAUAACACACAGUUAGCAAUUUUGCACAGGGGCGAGGUACAGACAUUUCCAGUUGUAUCCUUCAGAUGACAGAUUUAUGCAGAUAUUGCAUUUUAUUGCAAACUUAUGUUUAUAAUUUAGCCAUAAAAUGUGAACUGCUUUUAUUGUCGUUUAAUAGACUGGCAGCUUUUCUUUAGUAAACUUGCCCUGCUAACAGGUGUUGAUCCUUCCGGGAGACGCAAUGAUGACUCACUGCAGCAGAUGGGGCUCCUGAAAUCUACCCUGCUUGCACCAGAGAUAGGAGAGCCUCUCUGGAAGACAGAUGGGUUAGUUUUACUAGGAUGGAGAGCAUACACAGUUAGAAGACAAUCCAGAAGAACAGUGAAGAUUUUUUUGUUUGCACUCGUCAUUCUGUCACUGCCCAAUUGCUCUCACCACAGUGCUAGACUCAUCCUUUAUUGCACCGGUAUUCUGAAGAAGAUACUGUAUUGUUCUGUCAAUACAGCAUGUUCCUUCAAGCUCAGUGUAUCUUUUUGGUAAAUAAUAUAUAUAAAACCUCAGCCCUUUUCCAUUUGUGCUCUUAUUGAUUUUUUAUUGAUUCCUCAGAAUUUCCAAUAGUUCUUCAUCACAAUCUCAACUUACAAGGCACAGUUAGAGAUUUAAAAAAAUGUAAAAUUGAAAUAAAUAAAUAAAAAUCUUGAAUAACCA
rnacentral:lncRNA from 1 species